UAAAUUAGUAAACCAAAGUUCUCCAACAGUCUUUAGGUUUUUAUGUUCCCAUCGUCUUUGAUCAUUGUUGUAACGGUAAAACAUCCGUAGUGUGAUCUUUGCAUGUAGAGGUGAUUGUUAAAAUGAGCAAAGCUUUUCUCGGGGAAAGAAUUUAAAAGAACAUCAGGUUCCAGAGUAAGAUAUUCUUGGAUGGAACCUGAUAGGAAUUGUAAUCCAAAGUUUUUGAAGGCCUGUAGAAGUUUACAUUCCUUAGAUACAUUACUGGAAGU